UACGUAGGGUGCGAGCGUUAAUCGGAAUUACUGGGCGUAAAGCGUGCGCAGGCGGUUUUGUAAGCCAGAUGUGAAAUCCCCGGGCUUAACCUGGGAAUGGCCAUGGAAACUGGCGAACUGGAGUGUGGCAGAGGGGGGUGGAAUUCCGCGUGUAGCAGUGAAAUGCGUAGAGAUGCGGAGGAACACCGAUGGCGAAGGCAGCCCCCUGGGCUAACACUGACGCUCAGGCACGAAAGCGUGGGGAGCAAACAGG
rnacentral:rRNA from 1 species